AAAAGUCGUAACAAGGUUUCCGUAGGUGAACCUGCGGAAGGAUCAUUAUAGAAAUCGUGAUGGCUCGUGAAAGGUUGUUGCUGGUCCUACAGGGCAUGUGCACGCUUGGAUCGGGUUCGUUCAUCCUUUUCUUCCACACACCUGUGCACGAUCUGUAGCUUAGGGAUGAUCACGAAGUUGCGCUGUCGAUUUCGAAUGCCCUUCGCUAUGUAUUAUAACACACGCUCUAUGUAUUUUGGAAUGUUAUGGAUAUAUAUGCGUGUUAACAAACGCAGAUGCAAUACAACUUUCAGCAACGGAUCUCUUGGCUCUCGCAUCGAUGAAGAACGCAGCGAAAUGCGAUAAGUAAUGUGAAUUGCAGAAUUCAGUGAAUCAUCGAAUCUUUGAACGCACCUUGCGCUCCUUGGUAUUCCGAGGAGCAUGCCUGUUUGAGUGUCAUGAAAUUAUCAACUGCUUUGAUUUUUUUUGAAGUGAAGUUGGAUUUGGAGUGUUUGCUGGCGAUUUCGUUCAGCUCCUCUUAAAUGCAUUAAAGCCGUCGUUAUUAUUCCUGGCAUUGAAGUAUCUUUGACGUGAUAACUAUCUACGUCGCAGAGAAAGCUUUGAAUGUGUUACGGCUUCAUUACAAAGUCGCCGAUAAGACUUUGCAUUGAUCAAUUUGACCUCAAAUCAGGCAGGACUACCCGCUGAACUUAAGCAUAUCAAUAAGCGGAGGAA
rnacentral:rRNA from 1 species